GUGCUCGCUUUGGCAGCACAUAUACUAAAAUUGGAAUGAUACAGAGAAAAUUAACAUGGUCCCUGUGCAAGGAUGAUAUACAAAUUUGUGAAGCGUUCCAUAUUUUU